CACGUAGGGGGCAAGCGUUGUCCGGAUUUAUUGGGCGUAAAGAGCUCGUAGGCGGUUCGGUAAGUCGGGUGUGAAACCUCCAGGCUCAACCUGGAGUCGCCACUCGAUACUGCUGUGACUAGAGUCCGGUAGGGGAGCGUGGAAUUCCUGGUGUAGCGGUGAAAUGCGCAGAUAUCAGGAGGAACACCAGCGGCGAAGGCGGCGCUCUGGGCCGGAACUGACGCUGAGGAGCGAAAGCGUGGGUAGCAAACAGGG
rnacentral:rRNA from 1 species